ACUCCUACGGGAGGCAGCAGUGGGGAAUAUUGCACAAUGGGCGCAAGCCUGAUGCAGCCAUGCCGCGUGUAUGAAGAAGGCCUUGGGUUGUAAAGUACUUUCAGCAGUGAGGAAGGGUGGGUAGUGUUAAUAGCAUAUUCUAUUUGUACGUUAGCUGCAGAAGAAGCACCGGCUAACUCCGUGCCAGCAGCCGCGGUAAUACGGAGGGUGCGAGCGUUAAUCGGAAUUACUGGGCGUAAAGCGCAUGCAGGUGGUUUGUUAAGUCAGAUGUGAAAGCCCGGGGCUCAACCUCGGAAUUGCAUUUGAAACUGGCAAACUAGAGUACUGUAGAGGGGGUAGAAUUUCAGGUGUAGCGGUGAAAUGCGUAGAGAUCUGAAGGAAUACCGGUGGCGAAGGCGGCCCCUGGACAGAUACUGACACUCAGAUGCGAAAGCGUGGGAGCAAACAGGAUUAGAU
rnacentral:rRNA from 1 species